CCCAAUUAUGGAUUCCUGGGCAGGUCUGGCUCUCUGGGUUAGCACAAGCUGCACCUGCUCACAAUCACACACCUGUUCCUGGUCAGCCAUCUCCACUGCUUCUUAAAGACAGGCCUGACAACCUGUUCCUGCUGGAUUGCUAAGUCUUGAGCCAUCACCUGUUCUGCUCACUCAGCCUGCCAAGCCAGCCCCAGUCCUCACCUGCCAGCCGCUCAGAAGGAAAACCCCAGUGCCCCUGUCUUUAGUUCACUCACUCCACUGUUGAGAAAUAAUCUGUAAACUGCUGCAUUGCCUCCUCAUCUGCAUCUGGGUUCAGGCAUAAUUCCUGACACACUGGUGGAGGUUAGAAAGGACUGGGAAUGAAACUCAGACCAGCCAAUCAAACCCCCCCUCAGCAAUAAAUCACCAAGCAUGCAACCCAUGCCACUCUUUAUGUAAACAAGUAGUUUCCAUAAUAGUAGUGUUCUGCAUGUAAAAUGAUGUCAAUCUGUUGCCAAUGUUUUUGUCGGAACCUGGUUACGUUAAUCUCUGAAAGUCAUCUUUUCUGCAUAAAUGUUAUUAGGGAAAAUAUUAAAAUGCAAAAAAAAAUUAGGAAAUAUAAAUUUACAGACUUUUGCAGAUUAUCUAAAUUAUGGAUUUAGCUAGAUGGGAACACAGUUACCGAAUAUCACUUGUAUUCAUUAAAAUGUUUUUUGUUUUUAUGAACCAAGGGCACUGUUGAGAGUUAAGUUGUGUUUAGACUUGACAAAGAAGCAUCAGUUUGUCACAGUCAUCCAUGUUUUUUGCUUAUGGUUGGAACUUUUGGAGGUCCAACUUUGACUGGAAUGCAUUAUGCUUUUGUCAGCUUCUCUUCCAGCCAAUUACGUUAGGUCCAGUACA